UAGCUUUAAGAUUUUUCAUUUAAAGUUUUACCUGCCCGGUGGAAUUUCUUAACGGCCGCAGUACUUUGACUGUGCUAAGGUAGCAUAAUAAAUUGGCUUUUAAUUAAAGUCGGGUAUGAAAGGGAAUUUGGAAAAUAACUGUCUCAAAUAUACUUUAUUUUAAUUUAAUUAAUGAGUGAAAAUUCUCAUAUUUUAUUACAUUAGACGAGAAGACCCUAAGAGUUAUAAUUAAAAUGAAUUUAUUUCAUAUAUCAUUUUUGUUGGGGCAACAAAGACUGGAUAGAACCGUCAAAAAGUAAUUUUACAUAACCAAUAAUAUUUAAAAAGAAAUAAACUACCUUAGGGAUAACAGCAUAAUUAAUUUUUAGAUUGUGACCUCGAUGUUGGAUUAAGGACUUAGUUUACUAGCCGUAAACUAAGAUAGUUCUGUUCGAACUGUAGUACCUU
rnacentral:rRNA from 1 species